ACAGAUUUUCAGGACCUAAGAAGAUCCGGCCCUCUUAGUGCGGCUGCAGCCUCGGCGGGCUUCUGCUCCCGGGCAGUGUCUCUGGUCUUGAAAUUGCGCAGAGUCCAGAGCUAUGCCUCUCCAAGCUCAGAAGACGAGUAGUUUUGUUGUUUUGUUUUGUUUUGUUUUGUUUUGUUUUGUUUUGUUUUGUUUUGUUUUGUUUCUGUUUUCUCCGAGCAGGAGGGAGUCAGGGUGUUCUGCCUGUUGGAUGGGAGUGCAUUUCAGGGUCCCAGGAGGGACCGCUUGGCUUGGAUUAGCCCCUGUUUUCUCUGGUGCCCUAGAGGGACCGAAGACAACUUUCACACGCCUUCCGGCAAGUUUGUGGUUUGUCUUCUGGUUCCAAAACCAAAAGUUCUUCUAAGAGCGAGGACUGAAGAAGGGCAACCAGAAGGGCUGGGGACCUUGGUAAAGGCAUGAGGAGAAGUGUUAAGGACAUGUUUGUUUAACAAAACAGCUGAUCAAGGACACUGCUUACCCUGGAAGUCCGGAGUUCCCAGUGCUGAAGAUAAAGGAAGUCAAGAAUUGGUCUUCCCAGUAAGACAGGUGGAGGACUGAGCUCAUUUGGCUUGCUGUUUUUAUCUCUGUGCUGAAAGACAAGGACAUACCUGCCUUGCCUGGAGCUUCUGGUUACAGCUGUGUGCUGGCCUUACAACAGGCUGGCCUUAAAGACAGACCAGGUCCUAAGGGCAAACCAAAAGGAGGUAGGCAAGAGACAGUAAGAAGCAAACACUUUACCUUGUGAAGUUAAGAUUUAGGUCUGGAAAUAGAUCCCCUACCCCCAGGGCUCUCUCUGGUCCCCUGCUGGUCCUCUCUUCCUGCUUCUCCCUCAGAUCACCUUCCUAGAUCCUGCCACUCCAGAGUGACUCCUAAAGACUGGAAAGGGAAAGAGGAGUUAGCAGAGAUGGAAGUGGAGGUCCAACCCCAGCCUUGAACUGACUGUGACCCAUACAGAGCUGCCAGACAGUGAGGCAGAACCUCUCCUGCCUGGGCUCCUCUGCCCCAGCGCCAAAUGGCUUCGUAUGCUUAUGCCUCAAAUGGAGCUGCAUCUGAAUGCUAUGUCUGCCGCUCACUAUGUACAGAUGACUGGAAAACUGCAGAAGAGCAGGCAAGUCACCCAGAACUCUGCACAGAGAUGAAGACAGUUCGAAAUAUUGAUACUUCAAUUUCCCAUCUGUCGUUUUUCAUUCUGUUGAUUUUGCAUUUAGCUCAGGCUUGACUCAAACUCUGCAGCCAUGGAUUACUCAAAGCCAUUUGAAUUCCCAGUUUAGAGAAUCCCUGGUGGAUGGUCCACUGUUUCCAGAAGCACAGGGAACAUCUGUGAAGAGAGUCACGAGCAUCUUUGGCUAUGGUGCUGUGCCAGUCUGAUCCUGCAAGGCUUGCUUUCAGAAUGCAGGCCAGCGCACGAGCUUGGACCAGCAGGCAGCAGAGGAGCCCAGGUCAUGUCAUUGCUGCUGAUCCUUGGCAUAUUUCAUGCAACAGCACACACAGGAGCAUGGCUAACCUCUCAGAAUUGGAGUUUAACACACCCCAGGACAGGAUAUGACAAUCAAGCUGCUACCACAGUCCCUGGUGUUUUUCCAGAGACACCUGAGUCUGUUUCCUGUAAUGGCGACUGCUGGUGGGCCCUCACUGGAUGCUUCUUCUCCAUUUUCUCAGGCAGGUUCAUAACAAGAAACACCUUAUCCCUACAGGAAAUCCCACAACCUUUAGCAAUGACUAUUCAUUGCCAUUUGAUAAGUAGUACCCCCCUGUGCGCCAGGGGCUAGAGAGUGCAAAUUUGAACAAAUUAAGACCACAGACUGCGUUUUAAUAAGGACAAGGAAGGCACAUCUGAAGAGUUCCCGUCUGGAGGAAGAAUGCACUUUCCUGGUUAGGAGAAGCAGCGGGACACAGGGGCCAGACCGCUCAGGGCUUUGAGGAGAUGCUGAAGUUAACCAGAAAUGCUUUGUGUUGCCGUUCCUGUUGAAACGUUUCUGAGAUUGCUUCUACAUGCUGCAGGAGGUUUUGAAAUGCUGCACUAGAUCUCUUAAGAACAGAUGUAUUCAAGCAACUGUCCAGACCAACUGACAGAGGAGAGUCAGGCAUCCUGAAAGGGGCUGGGAAGUUUAUGAAGAUGGGUUAGACUUAGUCUGCACAGCCUGGGGAUCCUGGAUGAGAACUGACUUAUGACAAUAUCAGCAAAAGAAAAAAAAAAUAAAUCCACAGUGUUAUAGCUACAGAACAGUGAUGGGAGUGACGGCCCAGGGGCAUGGACCAAAUCAAGCAUCGUGCUUGAGCUCUUAGACAAGCUUGGACUGCAAGCUCUUGCACUUCCUACGGUCAGGUCCGUACAGCUGUUCUACGUAAGCAUAAAUGUAUUUAUGCAAGUGUAAUGUAUCAUCAUCAGUCAGGCUGGAACAUCUGCAGUGCUCCAGUGUGUGACCCUUUUUCUCCGAGUUGUAACCACACCAUCCUUAGCAAGUUAGCCUUUUGGCUUAGAAAUUUAGACAGCUUUCCGGUGAUAGGUUAUUAGAGAGGGGUGCAAUUUUAAAGACAAAACUAGAAAUGCCAUGAUCACUUCACUUGGCUUUCUUUGUGUCUGUCUUAAUCUCAACCUUGGAAAACACUAAAGUCCGUGGAGGAAGUGGAACAGACUGGCUCAGAACACCAGAGAAGCAGGCUCACUUCUGAUCAGGAGUAUCCCAUCACCGUGGAUAAGUCAUUCAGGUUUCCUGCAUUUCUGUGAAGUGUGGAAAUAGCUGGAAAGGUAGAGGGCUACUCAUCAUCAAAGAUGCUUCCAUGUCCUUUUAAUAUUUCUGUUACAUAUUAAACCAUGUUUCACAUGC
rnacentral:lncRNA from 1 species